CAUCCUCCAAGAGAGAAGAAGAGAGAAAAUCAAGAGAGCAAGGGAAGAAGAGGAAGAUUGAAGGAAGAAGCAAGGGAGCUCCUCCCCAAGGUUGUGAUGGUCCAGAUCCACUACCUUGUCUCCUUCAAGCUUCGGUUCCACCAUCUUUGGUGUCGGUCGACAAAGUCAGCAUCCCUCAAGUCAAAUGUUCUCUGUUUUCAAAUCUAACGACUAAUCAUCUCUUCAGAGCCUUGCCUCACUCAGUUCUUUCCAUGAUCAAUGUUCCUGAUGGAGGACUUUGCUUGAGGACCUCCAGCUUUUGUCGCGUUCAAAUGGGGAGGUUCUGAUCCAAGAGAGUAGCGCGACUUGUGUGAACAAAACUGAAAAGAAAAUCGAUAAACAUAAUCUGGACGCAAAUAAAAGUGAGCCCCUAGUUGCCAAAUUAUGGUGCAUAUAAGUUUGUUCGAGUCAAAUUUUGUAAACUUUGACCAAGCUUAUAGAAAAUAUUAUUUUUUCCGUACGCACGAGUGUGAGUAUCAUAUUGUAUAGAAAGGGGUGGGCAAAGAGCCCAAGUCCACAAUAGGUGUUACGAGUUUCAUUGUAUAGAAAAGAUUAUUAGCAUUGGAGCACGUCGUGUUUCCAAGAGCCGUUUCAUGAUCUUAAUUAGCCA